rnacentral:SRP_RNA from 1 species
UCGGGAAAGUCCUGUGCGACCAGCUCCCUCAAAACUCCCCCAGGGCCGGAAGGCAGCAAGGGUAUGAGGUCGUAGCGGUGCGACAUAGAUCGCUUUCCCU